CAAGGAUAAUGAGAGUGAUGUAUUGGGCAAAAAAAAAAAAAAAAAAAAACAACCAUUGGAGUGACACCUGUACGGCAAUGUCUUUGCAUCUCAUUGAAAAAGCAGAUGGAGACGAGCGGAGCAGAAUGGACUCUGCUAAAAACUAGGCUACAAGGAGGACAAUGCAGGAGUCAAUUUAAGGAGGAGCCAAAUGUAUAGAUAAUAGUGAUGUAUAUGGGUAUUUUGGGCAGCACAUGGAAUGUUGUUAACAGUCAAAAGACACGAACAAUUGACUGGCUCUGAUGACGAUGAUGAUAUCAUUUAGAGGCCACGAGGAACGAAAAC